AGUGAAGCACGCAUGGCAAAUGGAUCAGCAACGGUUAAAUAAGCACACUUUAAUGCACGUGGAAGAAAAAUUCAAAAGGCUUAGAAUAAUGAAAACUCAAAAAGUGUCUCCUCUCUCUCACCUCAGUUCCUAUCUGCGUCGCGCCAGAGGCUCCCUCGGUGGCGGAGAUUUCCAGAAAUCCAAUUUUAACCGUUAACCUCAUCCUCUCAGCCUCCACAUUCUGAAUCCACACUACAUGUAACCCAAUUUCUAAGCAAUAAUCCAAAUCAAAAUGAAAACUUCACGAACCCUAAACUGAAAAUAAAAAAUUAAACCCUAGAAAGGAAGAAUCAGAGCCCAAUCUGUUAGGGCUUUGAUUCCCCAAGUAUAGAACUACAUGUUGGUGACCAAAUUCAAGCGAAAUCAGGCAAAAAAUCGAUGACCUACCUUGAAGAGCGGUGAAGCAAAUUCGAAACCCAACGAAGAAGAUGAAGAUUAUUCAGCAUGAAUGGAUUAUGAGCACUGCAGUAUUACAUGAUGAAGUGGUGAUGCCAAGGCUACAACAUGAGAUUCUUUUUACUUGGACUGGAUGCAAUGUGGUGUGUGCCCCUAUUACGUAUGCCAUGAAUUGAUUUUUGUGCUAGGGCUGCUAUUUAGUGAGUGGUUGAAUGAAUUGCUUGCAUUGCUGGAUGAAUGUUAACUUGUUGAUGUGAAUAGGCCGUCAUGAUAAACGCUUGCUUUGACCGAAUUUGUUUUCAAUUGAUGUGCUUAACAUUCUUGUUGGUUGCCUCCUCUUGUUGUGAAGUUGUUAUGCCUGACAUGAUGAUUAUUUUCAUUACAUGGUUUGUUUGAAUGUUAUGCAUGUUGUAGAAUGUUUGCUACAUGAGUUGUUACAUGAUAUGGUGAUGGAUGGUUUUGUUUAGAUGAGAUGAAUUGCUAAUGCAUUGUAUGGUUUGACAUGCUUGAUAAUGGGUUAUAGCCUUGCCUUGGUUGCUUGAAUGUUGUAUGCAAUUUGGAUGUGGUAAUGCAUUGCUUUAUCAAUGGUUAAAUGCUUAGGUUUGGACUCUGUUAUGAGUUUCAUUGAAUUGAACAUGGUCAAAAUGGUUGGUUUGGCUUUUUGGAGGAUGUGUAAACAUGAAAUGGUGGAAAUCAAAACAUGACUUACAUUUGAAGAAAGAUGGUGAAGUUUUGGAUCAUGGCAACAUUAAGUGGAAUACUCAAGUGAAACAUGGACAUUAGGUUUUAGGAGAUGGUCUAAGUGGGUUAAUUGACCAAAAUGUCAAGAGUGGACCAAAAUUCAACUUAGGUAGAAAAAUGUACUUUUUGUGUAAUUCCUUUUGGACAAUUAUGAUGUAAUUGUAAUGAUAUGUAAUGAUAUGUAAUGAUACUUUAUGAUGAAAUGAAUGGUACUAACAUGUUUU